UCGUGCUUUGCGGCACGAGUUGUAGAUUGCAGGUUGGAGUCUGUGUGGAAGGCGGUGUCCAAGUCCCUUGGAACAGGGCGCCCAGGAGGGUGAGAGCCCCGUGGGAUGCCGGCGGAAGCAGUGAGGCCCUUCUGACGAGUCGAGUUGUUUGGGAAUGCAGCUCCAAGCGGGUGGUAAAUUCCAUCUAAGGCUAAAUACUGGCGAGAGACCGAUAGCGAACAAGUACUGUGAAGGAAAGAUGAAAAGCACUUUGAAAAGAGAGUGAAACAGCACGUGAAAUUGUUGAAAGGGAAGGGUAUUGCGCCCGACAUGGGGAUUGCGCACCGCUGCCUCUCGUGGGCGGCGCUCUGGGCUUUCCCUGGGCCAGCAUCGGUUCUUGCUGCAGGAGAAGGGGUUCUGGAACGUGGCUCUUCGGAGUGUUAUAGCCAGGGCCAGAUGCUGCGUGCGGGGACCGAGGACUGCGGCCGUGUAGGUCACGGAUGCUGGCA
rnacentral:rRNA from 1 species